GAUGAACGCUGGCGGCGUGCCUAAUACAUGCAAGUCGAACGCAUAGCGAAAGGUGCUUGCACCUUUCAAGUGAGUGGCGAACGGGUGAGUAACACGUGGACAACCUGCCUCAAGGCUGGGGAUAACAUUUGGAAACAGAUGCUAAUACCGAAUAAAACUUAGUGUCGCAUGACACAAAGUUAAAAGGCGCUUCGGCGUCACCUAGAGAUGGAUCCGCGGUGCAUUAGUUAGUUGGUGGGGUAAAGGCCUACCAAGACAAUGAUGCAUAGCCGAGUUGAGAGGCGGAUCGGCUACAAUGGGAAUUAGACAAGGACCAGAAGCCUACGGGAGGCUGCAGUGGGGAAUUUUGGAAAAUGGGGGGAAGCCGGAUAGAGCAAUUACGCGGGAGUGAUGAAGGGUUUCGGGUGGUAAAGCACUGUAGGAUGGAACGAAAAGGGAGAAUCGAAAAUAGUCUGCGAAUGACGGUACCUGACGAAGAAGGAACGGCUAAAUACGUG
rnacentral:rRNA from 1 species